UUAUUUGAGAGUUUGAUCCUGGCUCAGGAUGAACGCUGGCGGCGUGCCUAACACAUGCAAGUUGAGCGAUUUACUUCGGUAAAGAGCGGCGGACGGGUGAGUAACGCGUGGGUAACCUACCCUGUACACACGGAUAACAUACCGAAAGGUAUGCUAAUACGGGAUAAUAUAUUUGAGAGGCAUCUCUUAAAUAUCAAAGGUGAGCCAGUACAGGAUGGACCCGCGUCUGAUUAGCUAGUUGGUAAGGUAACGGCUUACCAAGGCGA
rnacentral:rRNA from 1 species